rnacentral:rRNA from 1 species
AGCGAACGCUGGCGGCAGGCCUAACACAUGCAAGUCGAACGGAUCCUUCGGGAUUAGUGGCGGACGGGUGAGUAACACGUGGGAACGUGCCCUUUGGUUCGGAACAACUCAGGGAAACUUGAGCUAAUACCGGAUGUGCCCUUCGGGGGAAAGAUUUAUCGCCAUUGGAGCGGCCCGCGUCUGAUUAGCUAGUUGGUGAGGUAACGGCCCACCAAGGCGACGAUCAGCAGCUGGUCUGAGAGGAUGAUCAGCCACACUGGGACUGAGACACGGCCCAGACUCCUACGGGAGGCAGCAGUGGGGAAUCUUGCGCAAUGGGCGAAAGCCUGACGCAGCCAGGCCGCGUGAAUGAUGAAGGUCUUAGGAUUGUAAAAUUCUUUCAGCGGGGACGAUAAUGACGGUACCCGCAGAAGAAGCUCCGGCUAACUUCGUG